GUCAUUUCUUAUGGUGAAGUAUUAUUCCAUCACAAUCAUAUGCUAUGACUUGUAUAGUAUGUAGACAGAAUCUGCUCCUCUUCCCCUCAACUCAUCCCCACCUUGCUGCAUGGCUGGAUGUCACAUGAAUGCUCCAAAGAGAGGUCACAGAUUAAAAUCCCUAAGAACAAGACCUAGAACUGAAGAUUACAGGUCCCGGUUCAAGAGAAAGGAUAAUGGUGUGGGUCCUUCAAGUUAUAUAUUCUUUAAGAAUCCUGUCUCUUAAGCAUCAUUUGGAUGAACAAUAAAGAAGUUGCAAUGUUUACUGUAA
rnacentral:lncRNA from 1 species